rnacentral:rRNA from 1 species
UACAGAGGGUGCGAGCGUUGUUCGGAAUUACUGGGCGUAAAGCGCGCGCAGGCGGCUCUUUAAGUCCAUCGGUGAAAUGCCGGGGCUCAACCCCGAGCCUGCCGAGGAUACUGAGGAGCUGGAGACACGUAGAGGCAAGCGGAAUUCCGGGUGUAGCGGUGGAAUGCGUAGAGAUCCGGAAGAACACCGGAGGCGAAGGCGGCUUGCUGGGCGUAGUCUGACGCUGAGGCGCGAAAGCGUGGGGAGCGAACAGG